ACGACCUUACUUGAACAGGAUCUGUUCUAUAGGAUCGUACUGUUGCAUCUUUGAUUAAUAAGAAGGCAAGUACUUAAACCUGGUUGAUGAGAAUUUGACCUGUGGGCCAGAGCGUGAUUUAACGGCCAGGACUUUGCCUUGGUGCAUUGUCUGGAGCUGCAGAUGAUCGUUCUUGGCCAGGCUUAAUGUCUGGCUAGGGUGGCCUACAGGCUGUUUGACAGGUU
rnacentral:snoRNA from 7 species